UUUCCCUCCUACCACAGCCGGUUGGCCAAGGCCGUUAGCCGCAAAAACGCACACGCGCGCGCGCACACACAAACAAACUUGGUUUGCUGUCUCCGCCGCCUCAGGAAGGGAUGGGGGGGGGGGGCAAUAGGAAUUACUCAGUUUGGAGUCCCAGGGAUUCCCUUUCAACGCUACGAGGAAGUUGCAGUAACAGAAAAGAGCGAAGGAAAGAGAAGAGCCCACCGGUGGGUAGGCACGUCAGGCACGAAGAAACAGGUUGAUAAACAAAUAUACCAGCAAAUCAGAGAAAUACCCAUGCGAUUACCACCUUCAAGAUUCGUGGCAAAGACUGAAAUGCAAUGUCUAGAAACUACAGUACUCCCACACUUGCAACCAAAAGUAUGAAUCUGUUGCUGUCAGUUCCCAGAGUUUCUUCCAAGGUGACAAAACCUAAUGGACUUCAAAGAUUUAGAGGCUGCCUUUAGAUAAUGUCAGAUGGGGAUAAGCUAACAAUAAUUGCAAGAGCUGAGAGAAGAGGAAUGGAGGAAGUGUUCUUCCUGUCUCCUUUUACAUCUCCAAUAUUUAUUGGACAAGACUUUUCUGUACUAAUGGCAACUCAUAGGAGACCUUGUCUAUUUUCCAAAACACCAGAACGCAAGACAAGAAACAAUGGAUGGAAACUAACCAAGGAAAGAAGGAAAACUA